UACGUAGGGACCGAGCGUUGUCCGGAACCAUUGGGCGUAAAGAGCGUGUAGGCGGCCACUUAAGUCCUGCGUGAAAUCUUGCGGCUCAACCGCAAGCGGUCGUGGGAAACUGGGUGGCUAGAGUGCGGGAGAGGAGAGUGGAACUGCGAGUGUAGAGGUGAAAUUCGUAGAUAUUCGCAAGAACACCAGUGGCGAAGGCGGCUCACUGGCCCGGUACUGACGCUGAGGUGCGAAAGCGUGGGGAGCAAACAGG
rnacentral:rRNA from 1 species